UAUCACAGUAUUUUUGCUGUUCU
rnacentral:miRNA from 1 species